rnacentral:rRNA from 1 species
UACGAAGGGGGCUAGCGUUUGUUCGGAAUUACUGGGCGUAAAGGGCGCGUAGGCGGUUUUUGUCAGUCGGAAGUGAAAGCCCCGGGCUCAACCUGGGAACUGCUUUCGAUACUGCAAGACUUGAGUUCCGGAGAGGAUGGUGGAAUUCCCAGUGUAGAGGUGAAAUUCGUAGAUAUUUGGGAAGAACACCGGUGGCGAAGGCGGCCCAUCUGGACGGACACUGACGCUGAGGCG